rnacentral:rRNA from 1 species
AUUGAACGCUGGCGGCAUGCCUUACACAUGCAAGUCGAACGGCAGCACGGGUGCCUGCACCUGGUGGCGAGUGGCGAACGGGUGAGUAAUACAUCGGAACAUGUCCUGUAGUGGGGGAUAGCCCGGCGAAAGCCGGAUUAAUACCGCAUACGAUCUACGGAUGAAAGCGGGGGACCUUCGGGCCUCGCGCUAUAGGGUUGGCCGAUGGCUGAUUAGCUAGUUGGGGGGGUAAAGGCCUACCAAGGCGACGAUCAGUAGCUGGUCGGAGAGGACGACCAGCCACACUGGGACUGAGACACGGCCCAGACUCCUACGGGAGGCAGCAGUGGGGAAUUUUGGACAAUGGGCGAAAGCCUGAUCCAGCAAUGCCGCGUGUGUGAAGAAGGCCUUCGGGUUGUAAAGCACUUUUGUCCGGAAAGAAAUCCUUGGCCCUAAUACGGGCGGGGGAUGACGGUACCGGAAGAAUAAGCACCGGCUAACUACGU